UACGUAGGGGGCAAGCGUUGUCCGGAUUUAUUGGGCGUAAAGAGCGUGUAGGCGGCUAGAUAGGUCCGUUGUGAAAACUCGAGGCUCAACCUCGAGACGCCGGUGGAAACCAUCAGACUAGAGUCCGGAAGAGGAGAGUGGAAUUCCUGGUGUAGCGGUGAAAUGCGCAGAUAUCAGGAAGAACACCCGUGGCUAAGGCGGCUCUCUAGUACGGUACUGACGCUGAGACGCGAAAGCGUGGGGAGCGAACAGG
rnacentral:rRNA from 1 species